AUUGAACGCUGGCGGCAGGCCUAACACAUGCAAGUCGAGCGGAUGACGGGAGCUUGCUCCUUGAUUCAGCGGCGGACGGGUGAGUAAUGCCUAGGAAUCUGCCUAUUAGCGGGGGAUAACCAACCGAAAGGUUGGCUAAUACCGCAUACGCUCUACGGAGGAAAGCCGGGGACCGCAAGGCCUGGCACUAAUAGAUGAGCCCAAGUCGGAUUAGCUAGUUGGUAGGGUAACGGCCUACCAAGGCGACGAUCCGUAACUGGUCUGAGAGGACGAGCAGUCACACUGGGACUGAGACACGGCCCAGACUCCUACGGGAGGCAGCAGUGGGGAAUAUUGGACAAUGGGGGCAACCCUGAUCCAGCGACGCCGCGUGGGUGAAGAAGGCCUGCGGGUUGUAAAGCCCUUUCGGUGGGGAUGAAAAGCUUCGUUCUAACACAACGGAGUCUUGACCUAACCCACAAAAGAAGCACCGGCUAACUCUGUGCCAGCAGCCGCGGUAACAC
rnacentral:rRNA from 1 species